CCGUAAACGAUGUCGACUUGGAGGUUGUGCCCUUGAGGCGUGGCUUCCGGAGCUAACGCGUUAAGUCGACCGCCUGGGGAGUACGGCCGCAAGGUUAAAACUCAAAUGAAUUGACGGGGGCCCGCACAAGCGGUGGAGCAUGUGGUUUAAUUCGAUGCAACGCGAAGAACCUUACCUGGUCUUGACAUCCACGGAAGUUUUCAGAGAUGAGAAUGUGCCUUCGGGAACCGUGAGACAGGUGCUGCAUGGCUGUCGUCAGCUCGUGUUGUGAAAUGUUGGGUUAAGUCCCGCAACGAGCGCAACCCUUAUCCUUUGUUGCCAGCGGUCCGGCCGGGAACUCAAAGGAGACUGCCAGUGAUAAACUGGAGGAAGGUGGGGAUGACGUCAAGUCAUCAUGGCCCUUACGACCAGGGCUACACACGUGCUACAAUGGCGCAUACAAAGAGAAGCGACCUCGCGAGAGCAAGCGGACCUCAUAAAGUGCGUCGUAGUCCGGAUUGGAGUCUGCAACUCGACUCCAUGAAGUCGGAAUCGCUAGUAAUCGUGGAUCAGAAUGCCACGGUGAAUACGUUCCCGGGCCUUGUACACACCGCCCGUCACACCAUGGGAGUGGGUUGCAAAAGAAGUAGGUAGCUUAACCUUCGGGAGGGCGCUUACCACUUUGUGAUUCAUGACUGGGGUGAAGUCGUAACAAGGUAACCGUAGGGGAACCUGCGGUUGGAUCACCUCCUUACCUUAAAGAAGC
rnacentral:rRNA from 1 species